AAUUUAUAGAUAUUAUAUUAGCAAAAGGUUUUCUAUUCUCUGCAUGGUAGACAAUUAUCUACUCUGCACACCUACCUGUGCCAUUUGUAGUGGUGAUAUGGCAAUUC